GAUGAACGCUGGCGGCGUGCCUAAUACAUGCAAGUCGAGCGAACAGACGAGGAGCUUGCUCCUCUGACGUUAGCGGCGGACGGGUGAGUAACACGUGGAUAACCUACCUAUAAGACUGGGAUAACUUCGGGAAACCGGGGCUAAUACCGGAUAAUAUUUAGAACCGCAUGGUUCUAUAGUGAAAGACGGUUUUGCUAUCACUUAUAGAUGGACCCGCGCCGUAUUAGCUAGUUGGUAAGGUAACGGCUUACCAAGGCAACGAUACGUAGCCGACCUGAGAGGGUGAUCGGCCACACUGGAACUGAGACACGGUCCAGACUCCUACGGGAGGCAGCAGUAGGGAAUCUUCCGCAAUGGGCGAAAGCUUGACGGAGCAACGCCGCGUGAGUGAUGAAGGUCUUCGGAUCGUAAAACUCUGUUAUUAGGGAAGAACAAAUGUGUAAGUAACUAUGCACGUCUUGACGGUACCUAAUCAGAAAGCCACGGCUAACUACGUG
rnacentral:rRNA from 1 species